rnacentral:sRNA from 1 species
GCGUUGGGCAACUGUGUAGAAGGUAUUGGUGCAGAAUCCGUUGGUGGACCAGGCGGC